GCCGAACUCUCUCUCUCUCUAUAUAUAGAGCUACACUACUGUACUAUCGGUAGUAUGGAGGCAUCCGUAGUACCAAGUUAUUUUUAAUGAUACGACUUUUAAAUCGAUCGACGAUCGGCUCUGUUAGACUUGAUCAACACUAUUAAAAAUAUACCAACCAUCCCUAGAGCAAGUGGCAAAGAAUUUGGUGGUUGGUACCCAAGAUUCCAAAUUCUUCGAAUCCUAGUUGAUUUAUAUUUCUAGCUAAAUUUAUUUCUAAAUGAAAUAAACAAAGCGGGUAUCGUGCUAUCUAUCUCUUAAAAAAAAAAACACUAUUAAAAAUAUAUAUUUUAUAAUUUUUGGUUGCUGUU
rnacentral:lncRNA from 1 species